rnacentral:rRNA from 1 species
AAAGUCCCGCAAGGGAUUAGUAGAGUGGCAAACGGGUGAGUAACACGUGGGUGACCUGCCUUCAAGUGGGGGAUAACGUCCCGAAAGGGACGCUAAUACCGCAUGAUAUGCCGCCCUUUAAGGGGUGGACAUCAAAGCCGGGGAUCGCAAGACCUGGCGCUAGAAGAGGGGCCCGCGUCCGAUUAGCUAGUUGGUGGGGUAAUGGCUCACCAAGGCAACGAUCGGUAGCCGGCCUGAGAGGGCGGACGGCCACACUGGGACUGAGACACGGCCCAGACUCCUACGGGAGGCAGCAGUGGGGAAUUGUUCGCAAUGGGCGCAAGCCUGACGACGCAACGCCGCGUGGAGGAUGAAGACCUUCGGGUCGUAGACUCCUUUCGAUCGAGACGAAUGGCCUCCGGGUGAACAAUCCGGAGGAAUGACGGUACCGAGAGAAGAAGCCCCGGCUAACUCCGUGCCAGCAGCCGCGGUAAUACGGGGGGGGCAAGCGUUGUUCGGAAUUACUGGGCGUAAAGGGCUCGUAGGUGGCCAACUAAGUCAGACGUGAAAUCCCUCGGCUUAACCGGGGAACUGCGUCUGAUACUGGAUGGCUUGAGUUUGGGAGAGGGACGCGGAAUUCCAGGUGUAGCGGUGAAAUGCGUAGAUAUCUGGAGGAACACCGGUGGCGAAGGCGGCGUCCUGGACCAAUACUGACACUGAGUGAGCGAAAGCCAGGGGAGCAAACGGGAUUAGAUACCCCGGUAGUCCUGGCCCUAAACGAUGAAUGCUUGGUGUGGCGGGUAUCGAUCCCUGCCGUGCCGAAGCUAACGCAUUAAGCAUUCCGCCUGGGGAGUACGGUCGCAAGGCUG